rnacentral:rRNA from 1 species
CAGUCGCCGCGGUAAUACGUAGGUGGCAAGCGUUGUCCGGAAUUAUUGGGCGUAAAGGGCUCGCAGGCGGUUUCUUAAGUCUGAUGUGAAAGCCCCCGGCUCAACCGGGGAGGGUCAUUGGAAACUGGGAAACUUGAGUGCAGAAGAGGAGAGUGGAAUUCCACGUGUAGCGGUGAAAUGCGUAGAGAUGUGGAGGAACACCAGUGGCGAAGGCGACUCUCUGGUCUGUAACUGACGCUGAGGAGCGAAAGCGUGGGGAGCGAACAGGAUUAGAGACCCCUGUAGUCCCUGUCUCUUAUAC